AUUGAACGCUGGCGGCAUGCCUUACACAUGCAAGUCGAACGGUAACGGGCCUUCGGGUGCCGACGAGUGGCGAACGGGUGAGUAAUGCAUCGGAACGUACCUUUCAGUGGGGGAUAACGUAGCGAAAGUUACGCUAAUACCGCAUAUUCUGUGCGCAGGAAAGCAGGGGAUCGCAAGACCUUGCGCUGAUUGAGCGGCCGAUGUCAGAUUAGCUAGUUGGUGAGGUAAAGGCUCACCAAGGCGACGAUCUGUAGCGGGUCUGAGAGGAUGAUCGCCACACUGGAACUGAGACACGGUCCCAGACUCCUACGGGAGGCAGCAGUGGGGAAUUUUGGACAAUGGGGGGCAACCCUGAUCCAGCCAUGCCGCGUGAGUGAAGAAGGCC
rnacentral:rRNA from 1 species